rnacentral:lncRNA from 1 species
CUCAGUGAUCAUGAAAAAUAGUUGUACGAACAUCAUAUUUAAAGUCACAGAGAUUAAAUAUGAGAUGAAAGAAGAAUAUUUAUUUAAAAGUAAGAGGAUUCAUACAACUCCAAGAAUAUAAAAUUAAAUACAUAAAACCCAUGUCCCUUUGUUAGGAUUGCAUCCAGCCCUGGAGAGGAGAUCAGCCUUCUAUGGAGUCGUGGGCGACAGCAGCAGUGGCAUAGCAGCGGGCUCCCUUUUCUUCCUUUUCUUCCUUCGGCGACUCCCCUCUUAUCACUUCGUUUCUUUUCUUCCAUGGGAAGUCUUCCCAUAAUACCCAAACUACUCUCUCACUCAUGCACUGGAUCUCAACCUCGGAGAAGAUGCCGUGAAGAGGAGAAAUUUCCUCCUUUUAUAGCCUCCCCAGCGCCCCACUUUCCCUCACAUGGAUAAGAUCUUCCGAGUGGGAAGAUAAGGGUGGAGAUGCGGCGGACGCGGGAUGAAGAUAGAGCUGAUCCGGGAGUUGGGAAGAAGAUGAGCUGUUGAUGUGAAUCCCCGGGAAUGAAACGAAGGAGCCGAGCUUCUUCAACACGUGGAAGGAUUCUUGGACGCGGCUGGGACGCGGUGCGGAAGAUUUGAGCCGAUCCGGAUGUUGGGAAGGACGUGGACUGGGAGACGAUCGUGUUGAAGAAGUUGGCUUUGGCUUUGGAUGCAAGGGAUGAUGCGAACGUUGAGAAGAUCCCGG